GAUCCUGGCUCAGGAUGAACGCUGGCGGCGUGCCUAAUACAUGCAAGUCGAACGAAUCUCUUUUAGAGAUGAGUGGCGAACGGGUGAGUAAUACAUAGGUAACCUGCCCCUGUGCGGGGGAUAACAGGAGGAAACUCCUGCUAAUACCGCAUAGCCAUGAGCACCGCAUGGAGCUCAUGCCAAAUAUCCUUUCGGGGAUAGCGCAGGGAUGGACCUAUGGCGCA
rnacentral:rRNA from 1 species